UACGGAGGGUGGAAGCGUUACUCGGGAUCACUGGGCGUAAAGGGCGCGUAGGCGGGCUAGCAAGUCUGGUGUGAAAGCCCAGGGCUCAACCCUGGAAGGGCACUGGAAACUGUUAGGCUUGAGUUCCGGAGAGGAGGGGGGAAUUCCCGGUGUAGCGGUGAAAUGCGUAGAUAUCGGGAGGAAUACCGGUGGCGAAGGCGCCCCUCUGGACGGAAACUGACGCUGAGGCGCGAAAGCGUGGGGAGCAAACAGG
rnacentral:rRNA from 1 species